rnacentral:rRNA from 1 species
AGUGAACGCUGGCGGUAGGCCUAACACAUGCAAGUCGAACGGCAGCACAGUAAGAGCUUGCUAUUACGGGUGGCGAGUGGCGGACGGGUGAGGAAUACAUCGGAACCUACUUUUUCGUGGGGGAUAACGUAGGGAAACUUACGCUAAUACCGCAUACGACCUACGGGUGAAAGCAUGGGAUCUUCGGAACUUGCGCGAUUGAAUGAGCCGAUGUCGGAUGAGCUAGUUGGCGGGGUAAAGGCCCACCAAGGAGCCGAUCCGUAGCUGGUCUGAGAGGAUGAUCAGCCACACUGGAACUGAGACACGGUCCAGACUCCUACGGGAGGCAGCAGUGGGGAAUAUUGGACAACGGGCGCAAGCCUGAUCCAGCCAUACCGCGUGGGUGAAGAAGGGUUUCGAGUUGUAAAGCCCUUUUGUUGGGAAAGAAAAGCAGCAGGUUAAUACCCCGCUGUUCUGACGGUACCCAAAGAAUAAGCCCCGGCUAACUGCGUG